UACGUAGGGCGCAAGCGUUGUCCGGAAUUAUUGGGCGUAAAGAGCUCGUAGGUGGUUUGUUACGUCUGCUGUGAAAACCUAGGGCUUAACCCUGGGCCUGCAGUGGAUACGGGCAGACUAGAGGUAGGUAGGGGAGAAUGGAAUUCCCGGUGUAGCGGUGAAAUGACGCAGAUAUCGGGAGGAACACCGGGUGGCGAAGGCGGGUCUCUGGGCCGAUACUGACGGCUGAGGAGCGAAAGCGUGGGGAGCGAACAGG
rnacentral:rRNA from 1 species